CCCCUUCAUAUGGCUGUCUAUUGGAAUACAUUUCUCAUUUCCCAAGUUUUUCUUUUUCCACGCACAAUAACAGUUGAAAUUUAUUAUUGUUUCUCAAUUUUUUUCAGGAUAAAGUUCCAAUUUGAAUCUAGGUUUCUCAUUCAGCCAUUACUCUGCGACGCUUGAGCUUCUCCAAGAUUUGUUGAAAGAGGCGAGUGAAGACAAAAUCGAAGAGAAAAUCGGAGACAAUAAAUUUCAGAGAAGUUGUUGCGUGGAUGUUUAAAGGUUUGGAUCGUUGAAGUUUUGAUGAGUUGACGAAGAAGACGCUGACUCUGCUCAUAUAUUCGAGGUUGUCGUUAUUGUUGGUGUUGCUUUGCGGGUUCUGGAAAUCGACGUAUGCAAGUUCUGGAAAUCGAUUGGAUCCUAUCACAACCCAUCGAAAUGUUGUAGCUUCUUUGUUUGCAGUUAUAAUAUCGAGUAGCUCACAAACUGGAAUUCUGCUCUGAUUAUUCAACUGUCGCAAGAUAUCAGUUCAGGUAGGGCUGAUUGGAACGAAUUAUCUGAUACAGGUCGGUAUCCAUUAUUCCAUAAUCAAUAUACGCAUCAUUCAAAUAUUUUUUGUGUGGUAGUUCUAUAAUGUC